rfam:Gossypium arboreum cultivar AKA8401 contig_16026_7, whole genome shotgun sequence.
GGGUGCGAUCAUACCAACACUAAUACACCGGAUCCAAUUAGAACUCCGCAGCUAAGCGUGCUCGGCUAGGAGUAGUACUAAGAUAGGUGACCUCUUGGGAAGUUCUCAUGUUGCACCCC